AGGGGUGUAGCUCAACUGGUAGAGCAGCGGAUUCCAAAUCCGCAGGUUUCGGGUUCGAGUCCCGCCGCCCCUGCC
rnacentral:tRNA from 1 species